GACGAACGCUGGCGGCGUGCUUAACACAUGCAAGUCGAGCGGUAAGGCCUUUCGGGGUCCACGAGCGGCGAACGGGUGAGUAACACGUGGGUGAUCUGCCCUGCACUUCGGGAUAAGCCUGGGAAACUGGGUCUAAUACCGGAUAUGACCUCCUAUCGCAUGGUGGGUGGUGGAAAGAUUUAUCGGUGCAGGAUGGGCCCGCGGCCUAUCAGCUUGUUGGUGGGGUAAUGGCCUACCAAGGCGACGACGGGUAGCCGACCUGAGAGGGUGACCGGCCACACUGGGACUGAGACACGGCCCAGACUCCUACGGGAGGCAGCAGUGGGGAAUAUUGCACAAUGGGCGAAAGCCUGAUACAGCGACGCCGCGUGAGGGAUGACGGCCUUCGGGUUGUAAACCUCUUUCAGCAGGGACGAAGCGCAAGUGACGGUACCUGCAGAAGAAGCACCGGCUAACUACGUG
rnacentral:rRNA from 1 species